GACGUAGGGGGCCAGCGUUGCUCGGAAUUACUGGGUGUAAAGGGUUCGUAGGCGGUGUGGCAAGUCGGGAGUGAAAUCUCUGGGCUUAACUCAGGGGCUGCUUCCGAAACUGCCGUGCUAGAGUGUGGGAGAGGCGCGUGGAAUUGCAGGUGUAGCGGUGAAAUGCGUAGAUAUCUGCAGGAACACCCGUGGCGAAAGCGGCGCGCUGGACCACUACUGACACUCAGGUGCGACAGCGUGGGGAGCAAACAGG
rnacentral:rRNA from 1 species